UCAAAGUUAUUUCUGUAGAGGUCCCGCAAGCCAUAGUCAUACAUAAUUUUCACAAACACGCAGAAGGCCUGCUCCUCCGGCAUAUGAAGCAGUAGCACAGCUGCAAGGAAGGACUGUCCCUGGCAAUAGCCAAUGUCUUCAUCGUAGACAGAGUAUGCCUUGCAGAUCUUGUAUAGAGAUUCCUGACCGUCUCCUUCUGUAUCUUUGAAAUAAUCGUGUGCUGGAAACGUGCGAUGAAUAUCUCGCGUAAUGACAUUCUCCUGAGCAGAAUCCAUUGUGAUGAGAAUUCUGUAUUUAUCCAGCAUUGCCUCGUUGUCGUGGCAUCCUGCCAGCAGCUGCCAAACCUCUGCCCUCAGUGCCUCAGGAACUCCUCUCUUCACCAGUGUGGACAAUCCGUUGGGUCUCACCACAAGGUUAUUGUGCCAUCUCCCUAGUAAUUCUCCCCAGGAAUACAAAAUCUUCUCAGGACAAUCCUUUGACACAUCACCAGUGCCACUGGAAAGUUCAUUAUCACUCUCUUCUUCUGCCUCAUCUUCCUGGG
rnacentral:lncRNA from 1 species